UUUAAUUUUGAUAAAGUCGACGCUGAUGAGAGAGGAUGGUCAGGACUGUGAAGGGAGGAUUUCUCUAAGUUUAACCUAAGUGUCAGCAUCAAACAGGAUUGAGUUGGACGCAAAUGUGGAAUAAAUCCCUUUAUAACUUGCAUCACCCUCCAAUGAGAGCCUGCUGUGGAUGAAAGUGAUGUUACCAGGCUCGAUAUAUGUUGAGGGUUCCAGCCAUGAAGAUGUUGGCAAAUUUGAACAUGUCAAUGUCAGUGAUUCUAGAUGGAGUAAUGACAUUUCAGACCAUUAGCCUCCUUUCAGAAAAGUUGAGCUUCCAUCCCUCCACCUGUUAAAUGAAGAGGAACUGUAAUCCACAUACCAGAGUCCAAGAGGACAUCACUAGCAGGGUCAACACCACGACCAACUCUCAGAGCAGGUGAUUGGGAAACAGAACAAUGAAGCGGAAAAUGAAAAUCAAACUGGCCAUAAACAGUCCAGCACACAGAACAUGGAUGAGACUGAGAAACUCCAUGGAGAAUUACGUAUAUCACCCAAGGUGGAUGAGAAAAAUCCCACGGCAUGGUCUGAUGAAGAGCAGUUCAGGCAUCCUGACCCACAGUCAUCUCUCAACCACUCGUUAAGGCUGCCAGUUUGAGGAUGGUAAAUCGGCAUCAAGCAUGACUGACCAAGUGUCUCUCCCACUCUUCCUGCCUGCUUGGACUAUUGGAAGGAAAUCCGAUUGAAAUCCUCCUGUUUGGCUCCAUCAUCAUCAGCAUUCCUUAGCACUAUAGUUCUGGAACGAGACUCAGAAGUGGAUCUUUGGGUUCAGAUACAGAGGCUCUACACAUUGCAUCACAUAAACUCCUUCCACUAGAAUCAAUGCGAGUAGUGAAAGCAUUGGCUCAGAAUGCUUUUCUCACUGGAGAAUGGAGUUAUAUUUUGAACAAGGAUUCUCCUAGACAUUGUGGAUCUGUAAGAAGGGAGUGUAUGUCUGUCUACCUAUGGUUGAUAAUGAACAGAGACAGAGGUAAUUCAGCUGUAGUGCAUAUUGUCCUGUUGCAACAUGAGGCCAGUCUUUGUGGUACACACUACAAGGGCUAACAUACAGGAGAACACAGACAUUAAAUCAUGCUGACAGUGGUGGUUUACCCAAAAACUACAUCAGCAGGGACUAGAAAGACAAGAUAUUAAUGUGGCUCUUACAUUGAGAAACAAGUAUAAAGAGAAGAAGAGCGAGCAAGAAUAAGAAAAAUAAUGUGAGACAGGAAAUGUUCAAAAGGGAGAUGAUUUGCUAUGAGAUUUGUACAUUUUGUUGAAUAUUGUAGUGUCAGUUUUGAGCCCACCACAGUAAAAUACAUGCAGGUCACUUUUUCCAGGUGAAUAUUGUAAAGAAGAUGUAAUGACUGGUUCGCUGUCUCCAGUCUUAAAACUGAGCAACAGGACGGCAGUAUCUGGCGGAUUUCUGAUUCUGCAAUAGAACUGCUGCUGCAUGAAGUGGAGCAAUGAAAUGUUACAAUUCAGGUUACUGCUCAACAUUCUUAACAUUUGUUUGUUUACUUUGUUACAACUUGUGACCACAAUUUCCAAACAUGCUCCAUUUCUCUUGUCAGUUCUCAAUUUUGGAUCUUUCUGUAACUGUUACAA